UACGAAGGGGGCUAGCGUUGCUCGGAAUCACUGGGCGUAAAGGGUGCGUAGGCGGGUCUUUAAGUCAGGGGUGAAAUCCUGGAGCUCAACUCCAGAACUGCCUUUGAUACUGAAGAUCUUGAGUUCGGGAGAGGUGAGUGGAACUGCGAGUGUAGAGGUGAAAUUCGUAGAUAUUAGGAAGAACACCAGUGGCGAAGGCGGCUCACUGGUCCGGUACUGACGCUGAGGUGCGAAAAGCUAGGGGAGCAAACAGG
rnacentral:rRNA from 1 species